UGGGGAAUAUUGCACAAUGGGCGCAAGCCUGAUGCAGCCAUGCCGCGUGUGUGAAGAAGGCCUUCGGGUUGUAAAGCACUUUCAGCGGGGAGGAAGGCGAUAAGGUUAAUAACCUUGUCGAUUGACGUUACCCGCAGAAGAAGCACCGGCUAACUCCGUGCCAGCAGCCGCGGUAAUACGGAGGGUGCAAGCGUUAAUCGGAAUUACUGGGCGUAAAGCGCACGCAGGCGGUCUGUCAAGUCGGAUGUGAAAUCCCCGGGCUUAACCUGGGAACUGCAUUCGAAACUGGCAGGCUAGAGUCUUGUAGAGGGGGGUAGAAUUCCAGGUGUAGCGGUGAAAUGCGUAGAGAUCUGGAGGAAUACCGGUGGCGAAGGCGGCCCCCUGGACGAAGACUGACGCUCAGGUGCGAAAGCGUGGGGAGCAAACAG
rnacentral:rRNA from 1 species